rnacentral:lncRNA from 1 species
CGCUGGCGGCGAUGCUCGCUCUGCGCUCUGCGGCGGUCGUGGCCCCCGCGCGCCGGCCUCGUGUAGCAGGCUGCUCGUCCUCGCGCGCAGGCCCCGGCCGCACCAUGAGUGAGCUCUGAAAACCUAGAUUGUGGCCUGACCUGAGGAACCCAGCCUAAGGUGGAAUCUGCUCUUAGACGUGACCCAGGAUGGUGUGACUGCCUGCCCAGUCAUGCCAGUCUCUGGUGGAGAGCAAGCACUUUCUCCUUGCUGUGGUGGACUUAGUUUUUGCUGUGUCAACAGCUGUUGAUGCUUGGUCACAUCGUCUGGACAUGGUGGCUGCUGACUCUACUCUCCUGUUUGAAUUGUGCGAUGAAAUCUUGUCUCCCUGAAAUACUGACAUUGCCUUGGUUUUCUCUGAAAGAUUAUAAUAAAAAAAAUAAUACUC